GUAAAUUUCAUUUUCCCACAGUUUUCAAAUAUACGUAUACAUACGGUCGAAGUUUCUAGAAGAUUUGAUGAAUUUACCGGUGCCGGAAAUGAAAAAGCCCGACGGAAAUCCGGCGAAGUACGAUUUAGAGCAUCGGUACAAGGGAGAUGACUCAUGGUACGGUGUGCUAGUGACGGUGGACGGUGAAACGAUGACGGUGAAGUUCGAGGGAUAUCCGGAAAAAUUCGAUGUGAAAUUCCUUGCUGAUGACUUGAAAUCGAAGGAGGAAAUGGAUGAAUUCGUUAGGAGGUUUAGGAAUGUUUCGCCACAGCUGCAGGAUAAUGAAUGCAGUAGUGUUAAGGAAGGGAUGAUUGUCUGUGCGGCUUGUAAUGCUUUUGGCAAAGAUGAUAUGCUCUUCUACGAUGCCGUUGUUGAAGCGAUACACAAAAAGAACCAUACAUUUCACAAUGGAGUGGAGGAGUGCACAUGUACCUUUGUACUAUCCUGGCUUCAUGGCCCAAAGAAGGAUGACUUGGCUAAUUCUGGAAUUGAAGGCAUAUGUAUCAUAAAAGGCACAACCCAAGUUGAUCCUAGAAUAUCCUCCUU
rnacentral:misc_RNA from 1 species